rnacentral:rRNA from 1 species
UGCCAGCCGCCGCGGUAAUACGGAGGGGGCGAGCGCUAUUCGGAAUUACUGGGCGUAAAGGGUGCGUAGGCGGCCCAUCAAGUUAGACGUGAAAGCCCCGGGCUCAACCUGGGAAUUGCGUUUAAUACUGGUGAGCUAGAGUACGAGAGAGGAAAGUGGAAUUCCUAGUGUAGAGGUGAAAUUCGUAGAUAUUAGGAAGAACACCAGUGGCGAAGGCGACUUCCUGGGCCAAUACUGACGCUGAGGUGCGAAAGCGUGGGGAGCAAACAGGAUUAGAUA